rnacentral:ncRNA from 1 species
GUAGAGUAGGCAGCUGCGCGUUAAGUGCCAUGUGUACGGGAUGUUGACCAUGGACGAAGGAAGGCCGCAUCAUUGCGGCGGAUCCGCGGUGCACUGCCGCAUUCGCUA